GGAUGUGAAGGCUGUCUGACUGCAACAUCUGUAACUCCAUUGAUCACCAGAGUUGAUUCAGUUGAUCUGGCUAGGUGGGAGACCCCUUCCUCCUCACUGCUCCAUGUGAGUCACCCCCAAAGCUGUGUGCUAGGUGGAGCAGCAUAAACUUCUCCAAAUAUAGGACUGGUCUUAAGUCAAGGGUAUAAGGAGCAGUAGCUGUGCUCCCUUCUAGAACCUCCAACAAAGCUCUCAUUGGCUAAAAAUAGGCAAUAAGUAUAAAACUUUAUAAAAACAGACAACUAAUGAAAAGAGAACUUU
rnacentral:snRNA from 1 species